rnacentral:lncRNA from 1 species
AUACUCAUACACAAAAUAUCAUAAAACUUGAAGUGUUAUUCCUAACAUGACGUUGAUUAAGCUUAGCUUCAUUUUCACUAUUCUUAUCAUGACAGUCACAAGUUAAUAUUCAUUUCUGUUUAUAUCUACAAUGUAGAAUUGUUAUGUUUGUUAGUACGUAUGUAGGUACAUAUCACAUAUGUGACCUUGCACAUACAUACAAAUUGAAUUUAGUAGUGUUUAUGCGUGUGUGUUUUUUAUUAUCUGAUGUAUAAAUGUGGGCUUUUGAUAUUAUACUGAUGAUUAUUUGAUUCUGAUACUGAUUAUGGUUAAAUAUUUCAGUCAAUACAUCCUGGUUCUCAACGAAACAAGUUAUAGCUACACAAGAUGUUGAUCUUGUGCUCCCCGGACUCAAGAGAAGAAUGCUCCCACAGCUUAAUACUUGUUUUAGAUCUUGUACGUCGGAUAGUGAUUGCAGCGAUUGUUGGGUUUGUUGCAUUUGUUCAAACACACUCUUGUACCCGAAUCAAACCGUGUGUGCGUCAAAUUUUGGUGGUGACUAGUGGCAGUGGACAGAUUACAAUUAUGAUCAAUAUGUCAUUGUGUAAUUUCAGUGUUUGCUUGUCUUUUCUUAUUUAUUUACUCGUCUUUUGUGCUAUGAAAAAUAAUAAUAACAAGUCAUGAGUGACUUUCUAUUCAGAAAUAAUAAUUGAUUAUGCUCCAAAACAUGAUUGGAUUUUGCUUUGUUUUAGUUGUAUCAAUCAUGAUACAUUUUCUAAAAUAAACAUUUAUUAGUAUGAAAAGGAGCCUUGGA